ensembl:ncRNA Y38C1AA.16 ncRNA
AAAACGUAUAAUUUGUUGUUCAUGAAACUGUAAUUAGACAGUCAGUCUUCUGUCCAUCAACGAUGUGUGUGCGUGUGUCACGUAACAGUGGUAAUUAGCUGAAGGUCUUCGCCUCCCUCCUCUCUGUAGAGGUUCCGUCCG